AAGAGAGUUACUGUUGAGUCUACGGGGAUCCUGGGAGUUUCAGUGCAGACCCAUCGACUGGGCUUUCCCCUGAAUGCUGGAGUCCAAGGAAAGCACAGCUAAUACUGGCCUUUUUGAAGUACAAGAACGCCCAACAGCCACAGCCGAUGCAUUUAGACGUAUUUGAAGGCUCCAACACGG